rnacentral:lncRNA from 1 species
UUUUGAGAUACCGACCCCAAAAAAAUGGCGUGCCCUUCAUUUUUCUAAGGAUGAACCUAUACGCAAGAGACAAGAUCUGAAGAAGCAGCCGCAGACGCAUAACUCAAAAUCGGGCUCCCUCAUCAACUCAUCUUCUUCCUCACUAUUAAAACCCCAAAACAUUAACCUCCAUUAACAUCCAUCUCUAAUUUAAGCCCUCUAAAAUAUCCCUCAAACCCAACAAAGCUUCAGCCCCAAUUGGCCUCAAAGUAGCUCAAAAAAAGAGUGUUGAAAAUAGCCCAAAUCCAACAACAGCGAGCUGAAAAGCAGCCUGUUUCCUAGCGAAAUUUCAGCUGCAAAAUCAGCUGCAGAACAACCAUCAAUCUACUUAAAAUCAAUCCGAACUCCAGCCAAUAACCAGUCCAAAAGUUUAAGCUCCAUUUCAGCCGUGUAAAGUCAUCGAAGCUUGGUGAGUUUCCUGAGUCGGCUUCGAGUUUCUGGCGAUUUGGUCGAGUUUCUAUUGAGGUCUCGUGUGCAGUUUUGUUGGUGUUUUAGCUUCAGAAAUUGUCAAGGAAUCGAAGCUCAUAUGCAUCUAUAAAAGGUUCUUUUGUUCUUAUCUCAUCUUAUGACAAUAACUUGAUGAAUGUUGUUGAUCGAUCCCUACUUCUUUGUUAGCAUGAUUUCACGUGUGAUUUUACUUUGUUUAUCAAUUUUUGGUGUUAUUGGAUCAUCGAUGUUGAGAUGUUAAGAGCAUUGAUAAGAUUUCUAUGGCUGGCCACUAAAAUAGAUCCUGUGUAAAUG